UCCGGAAUGGUGUAGUGGCUAGCAUUUCUGCCUCUCAUUAGCUGUUCAGUUGAAUUGAACAGUUGAAGUGUUCGCAGGAGACCGGGGUUCAAUUCCCCGUUCCGGAA